CCAGAGAACUUAGCAGAGAUGCUUUGGUGCCUUCGGGAACUCUGAGACAGGUGCUGCAUGGCUGUCGUCAGCUCGUGUUGUGAAAUGGUUGGGUUAAGUCCCGCAACGAGCGCAACCCUUAUCCUUUGUUGCCAGCGAUUCGGUCGGGAACUCAAAGGAGACUGCCGGUGAUAAACCGGAGGAAGGUGGGGAUGACGUCAAGUCAUCAUGGCCCUUACGGCCAGGGCUACACACGUGCUACAAUGGCGCAUACAAAGAGAAGCGACCUCGCGAGAGCAAGCGGACCUCAUAAAGUGCGUCGUAGUCCGGAUUGGAGUCUGCAACUCGACUCCAUGAAGUCGGAAUCGCUAGUAAUCGUAGAUCAGAAUGCUACGGUGAAUACGUUCCCGGGCCUUGUACACACCGCCCGUCACACCAUGGGAGUGGGUUGCAAAAGAAGUAGGUAGCUUAACCUUCGGGAGGGCGCUUACCACUUUGUGAUUCAUGACUGGGGUGAAGUCGUAACAAGGUAGGCGUAGAUGA
rnacentral:rRNA from 1 species